CAGAAGACAGCAAGGAUGAAAGGGAAAGGAAAGAGUGCUCUAAGAGAGCGGAGACUGGCAGACAAACAUAAGGGUGGCCAAGUGCCCUACUUCACACAGGAAGGUGUGCUGUUUGAAGAGCUGCCUGGUCCACAGAUAGAGGACCCCAAGGAGGGAGAGCAGGAGGGGCCUUCAAGUUGCCCAUCAACAGUUCGCACCUGGGUAGCAGACCAAGCUGUCUCCUGGCCACAGUCUUUCCUGCUAUGUUGAAAGAAACUGCUUUAAAACAGGCUGCCCUCCAACGUACAUAAUUACCUUGCUGGAUCAGACCAAUGUUUCAUCCAGUCUAGCGUUCUCUGUCUCCCUGCCAAGUGCCUCUGGGUAGCUCACAAGUAGGGCAUGGCAAUUGCCAUGAGUGGCAGACAGAGGAACCAUGGGCCAGAAAUAUUUGAGAAGAGACAACACGACACGCCUAAUUAACAGUUUUUAAAC